CCUACGGGCGGCAGCAGUGGGGGAUAUUGCACAAUGGGGGGAACCCUGAUGCAGCGACGCCGCGUGGGUGAUGGAGCGCUUCGGCGCGUAAAGCCCUAUCGGCAGGGAAGAAGAUGACGGUACGUGACCAAGAAGCCCCGGCUAACUACGUGCCAGCAGCCGCGGCAAUACGCAGGGGGCAAGCGUGAUACGGAUUUACUGGGUGUAAAGGGGGCGCAGACGGGAAGGCAAGCCAGGAGUGAAAGCCCGGGGCCCAACCCCAGGACUGCACUUGGAACUGCAUGGCUGGAGUACAGGAGGGGCAGGCGGAAUUCGUGGUGUAGCGGUGAAAUGCGUAGAUAUUAGGAGGAACGCCGAUGGCGAAGGCAGCCUACUGGACUGUGACUGACGUUGAGGCCCGAAGGCGUGGGGAGCAAACAGGAUUAGAUACCCUAGUAGUC
rnacentral:rRNA from 1 species